GAAUAUUGGACAAUGGGCGAAAGCCUGAUCCAGCCAUGCCGCGUGGGUGAAGAAGGUCUUCGGAGGGUAAAGCACUUUAAGUUGGGAGGAAGGGCAGUAAGCGAAUACCUUGCUGUUUUGACGUUACCGACAGAAUAAUCACCCGCUCACUCUGUGCCAGCAGCCGAGUUAAUACAGUGGGUGCAAGCGUUAAUCGGAAUUACUGGGCGUAAAGCGCGCGUAGGUGGUUCGUUAAGUUGGAUGUGAGAUCCCCGGGCUCAACCGGGGAACUGCAUCCAAAACUGGCGAGCUAGAGUAGGGCAGAGGGUGGUGGAAUUUCCUGUGUAGCGGUGAAAUGCGUAGAUAUAGGAAGGAACACCAGUGGCGAAGGCGACCACCUGGGCUCAUACUGACACUGAGGUGCGAAAGCGUGGGGAGCAAACAG
rnacentral:rRNA from 1 species